UCGGCCCGCCCCGGGCGGGGCAGGCGGCCUAGGUCUAGGGCUCCACCGGCUCUACCCGGCCCGCGGGCGGGCAUGGAGGGGACGCGCUUUGUGCAAAGCCGGGGACGGGAAGCGAGCCGAGACCCGAUUGCCCUCCGUCUUUAGUGGUCCGGUGGAGUUCCCCUUAGGGACGGACCCCAGUACUGUGUCCUGGGAGAGGGGCUCCCCAGGUGCCCGGAGCCGUUGCAGGGACUGCGGAAGCCUCGCGGUUAGCGCGGCCAGCGGAGGCUGGAGAGGUUAAGUUCAUUGAGUUCUCGCUCGCUCUCUCCUCUCCCCCUCCCCCGUCCUUUCCUCUUUCUCAAUGAGGAUGCAAGUGUAUCCUCUUGAGUCAGCAGAAGCUUUGCAAUGGUCUGUGCUACAGAGAGUGCUCCAAACUGGAGCAUCCCGCACCCGCAGCUCGCCCUCCGGAGCGCGUUCGUGAAUACCGCCUACGGCUGUUAUUUUUCUGUGUGUCUCUCAUUCUAAGUAAACCAAUGGGAUUCUUGUUGCGUUUGGAAGCUGACAGUCUUAGGCACUUGGAACAACUUCCGAUAUUUCGGUGCCAUGGAAGGGCUAAGAUAGAAGGUUCCUGUUCUCCACCAGGCCUCUGUCUGGAAAGCCUAGUGUGUCUAUGCAGUCCUCCAGCUGAUGGAAGUGCAGUUCUCCGGUCCUUAUCAGUCAAAGAAAGGCACAUGCUAAGGAGUUAUCUCCUUGCAAAGACAUGACUUGCUGAUCGCAGAGACUUCGGGGCAGCCUCUGGCUCUGGCUUCACCUUCAGAAGCUUGUUUUUUUGCUAUAUAACAAUUCUUCACUUUUCUUUUCAAGAUAAAAGCAAUCACAACAAAGACAUGCUAAUUAGUCAAAUACAUAGAAUUUGUUUUAAUCUGCUUUCUAACAAACUAUAGGUAUUGUAGAAGGAUAUUUGUAGGAGAGUCAUUUGGUUCUGGAUACCUGGCAUCACAGACUGAAUUUUUCAUCUUAAGCAACUGCUCUGCUGGGGUUGAUGUUUAAAAGGGGGAAUCCUUGUUUUUCAGCAAUGUAUGCUAAAUACAUUCACUACAGUA